GAGACGAUGGCGGCGUAGGAGAGACACCGCUAGUCUCUCCGCGCUACGGGCGGUUGAGAUUCUGCGCAGGCGCAGUUCGGACAGGGGCGCGGGGAAUGUGUCAAAACUCCGAGCCGACGCACAGUUAGUCCGUGUACGGUAGAGUUAAUGUGAUAUAAUAACAUCCAUGGUCACCUGAAGACAGCUUUAAGCUAGCAGCAGUAGAGAAAAACAGCCAGCUGAACCAGGUACAGCAGUACCACGAAGGGAAGCAGGAACUGAAAUCCAGACUCUACAGCAUAACAGGCACUUCUGUGCUAUAUGAAAUAUCAGGAAAGAUGUGAGAUGGACCAUUGUAACAGAGGUUUUCAAAGCCUGGGCUAACAGAGGAAUCUUCAAAAGAUACAGGCAGCACUGAAAAGCAUAAACUUGAAUGUUUCUGAAAAAUAUACCAGCAUUUUGCCAAAUGUAUUUAAAUCAACUGAGUCAU